ACUCAAAUGAAUUGACGGGGGCCCGCACAAGCGGUGGAGCAUGUGGUUUAAUUCGACGCAACGCGAAGAACCUUACCAAGGCUUGACAUGGGAAAGACUGUACGAGAGAUCGUGCUUCUCCAGCAAUGGAGCUUUCCACACAGGUGCUGCAUGGCUGUCGUCAGCUCGUGUCGUGAGAUGUUGGGUUAAGUCCCGCAACGAGCGCAACCCUCGCUUCCAGUUGCCACCAUUUAGUUGGGCACUCUGGAGGGACUGCCGCGAAUAACGCGGAGGAAGGUGGGGACGACGUCAAGUCAUCAUGGCCCUUACGUCUUGGGCUACACACGUGCUACAAUGGGCGUUACAAAGGGCUGCAAGAGCGCAAGCUGGAGCCAAUCCCUAAAAGCGCCCUCAGUUCAGAUUGAGGUCUGCAACUCGACCUCAUGAAGGUGGAAUCGCUAGUAAUCGCGGAUCAGAACGCCGCGGUGAAUACGUUCCCGGGCCUUGUACACACCGCCCGU
rnacentral:rRNA from 1 species